ACGAUAAUAAUAAACCUCACUUAGCUUGAUCUUAGCACUUACUGUAUGCCAGAGUCCAGUGCUAAGCAUACUGCCUUUACUCUUCACAACCACUCUGCUAGGUACAUAUUAUUAUCCCGAUAUUACAGCUGAGGAAACCGAGGUUCAGAGCAAAUGAGUGACUCAUCAAUCCUCUUGUAACAGCCCUAUAGGUCCUUUAUUUAAUCACUGGAGGUAACCCUUGCCAUGCUAGAAUGGAUUCCAGAGAAAGCUCUCUAUAUGAGCAGAAAUCUUCCUCCUUCCACUGUUUUGUCAGAGACACUAAUUUUGUUCCCUGGGGCCACAAAACAUAAGACCACCUAAAGUUUAAUUCACCCAAUUUAUAGUUGAGAAAAUGGUGUGUAAUUUUGGCUUUCAUUAAUAAUAUCCGCCUCUAGAAGAUGGGAUAACCAUUUUCUCUUUCCUCUCUAGUCUAGUCGACCUCAAUAGCACUGGGGAUGCCAGAAAAAGAGGGUGAGGGGAGGCAAAUGGUGGUCCAUGGCCCUAGUGUGUUUUGUUGUAACCGCUUUAAUGGUCUGCAGGUUUCUGAAGCUGCUCCACGUUCCUCUUUCUCAUUAGCCACACGUUAAGAAAGAUACCACACUGGGGCACUUGGGUGGCUCAGUGGUUGAGCGUCCGCCUUGGGCUCAGGUCAUGAUCGUGGGGUCCUGGCACCAAGUCCCACAUUGGGCUCCCCACAGAGAGCCUACUUCUCCCUCUGCCUAUGUCUCUGCCUCUCUCUCUGUUGUAAUAAUGAAUAAAUAAAUAAAUACAAUCAUUAAAAAAAAAAAAGAAACAGGGAUCCCUGGGUGGCGCAGCGGUUUGGCAUCUGCCUUUGGCCUGGGGUGCGAUUCUGGAGACCCGAGAUCGAGUCCCAUGUCAGGCUCCCUGCAUGGAGCCUGCUUCUCCCUCUGCCUGUGUCUCUGCCUCUCUCUCUCUCUCUCUCUCUCUCUGUGACUAUCAUGAAUAAAUAAAAUCUUUAGAAAAAAAAACAAAAAAAGAAAGAUACCACACUUUAAGACGGAUAUCAGUAAAAUAGUGAGAUCCAAAGGAGGACAGCUUGCUAAUGAGGGGCUAGCUCCAACUGAAUAGUUGAAGAGAAAGGGUAGUCUAGCCUGGGGGGGCGGGGUGGAGAAUGGAUAAAGGGACAAUAUCCUCAAAUAUCUGAUCAACUGUCAGCAUAAAUGAGGGAGAUGGCCAAUGCACAAACAUAUAAUAAACAGUGAGGAUACCGUAUAGGACAUGUGGUUCUCAUCAGCAGAAAUGUUUGAUCAAAGGUAUCAUCUUUAUCUGUCAGGGACACUAAACAGGUUCUUCUGUGAUAGAUGGGAGACCCACAGAGUUCCCUUCCAACCCUAAAAUGUUGUUACUCCAUAUAAAUCUUGCCCCAAGUUACCCAGUUUGUGGCACAGUGAGGACUAGAAACCACCUCUACCAUCCUUAAGUCCAGAGCUCUCUUCAUGACAUCAUAUAUCAUACAUUAACAAAAUAAUGUGAAACACUGUCUAGAAACUAUUCCAAGUGUAGCUGUUUAUUCAUUACAAGUUUCUCUUUCUCAGUAGCCACAUUUUAAGAGGGAGAUAUGUCUAUAAACACAUGAUUUUAUGAAGCAAAUAAUUUAAAUCUAAGCAGAUUUCAUCGGAGUGCAAAGAAUCCCAAUGAAUGAGGUUUCUCACAUGUUCCAAGCAAUGAAAAGUGAUGAAGAGAAGUGGAACAGAACAGAAAGCUUUAUUUUCUUAUUUCUAGUUUAUCAGGACAUGCCAGAAAGCAAUGAGGGAUGUCCUGUGUAAUGAUGGCCACUCUGAAAAUUUGCAGUACUUCCUUUUCACCAAAGUAGGUACCUGAUGCACAUAAGUUCCAUGUAGUUUAGAAUAUGCUUCAUUUAAAGAUGCCCAUAAGGUUCCGAGCUGUCAUUUAGUAACCCAAAGGACAUGCAAGUUAGGGCCCAUUCAAAACUAUGUUUAUAUGUGCUGUAAUGGGGGCUGUGUUUGAGUUAUAGGAAUAAAGCAUUUCGUUAAUUUAACCCAUAUGCUGGAAUUUCUUUAAGCAUUCUACAACAGGUAUAUAUUCCAUAUUUUACAUUCCCCAUAUAUUUUUAUAUUACAUACACACACACGCACAUAGGUGUGUAUUUAAAGGUGGCUCCACACCCAAUGUGCAGCCCAAUGUGGGGCUUGAACUCAUGACCCUGAGAUCAAGACCUGAGCUUAGAUCAAGGGUCAACUGCUUACCCCAACUGAGUCACCCAAGCGACCCUACAUUCCAUAUAUUUUCUGAAGGCUGUCAUGCUAGUCUAUCAAUUUAGGAUUAGGAAAACAGCAUUCUCUAUCAGCUGACAGCAUUCACUGAAGUACCCAUCUAUAUAAGGAACUGAAUUCAAAAGGGUCCAAUUUGGGAUGAGUUAGCAUCUCUCAGAUAUUUAGGGAAUGACACUAUGCCUCAAUUCACAAUUUAAGAAUUGUUAUGUAAAACGUAAAAUAUAUAAAAGAUGCUAUAAAGAAAAUUCCCUGUUGAUGAUGGUGAUGAUGAUGAUGAUGAUGAUAAAGCCAUGGGGACAUAACAAACAUUUAAAGCUGAAAGGCGGGCAGCCCAGGUGGCUCAGGGGUUUAGCGCUGCCUUUGGCCCAGGGUGCGAUCUUGGAGACCUGGGAUCCGGUCCCAUGUUGGGCUCCCUGCAUGGAGCCUGCUUCUCCCUCUGCCUGUGUCUCUGCCUCUCUAUCUCUCUGUGUCUCAUGAAUAAAUAAAUAAAAUCUUAAAAAAAAAAAAAAGCUGAAAGGGAACUUAAUGAUCAUUAAGUUCAGAAAUAGAAACAUUUAAGGCAUCUGCAGGUCACACUGCUGCUUGGCUGCAAAGCAGAAACCAGAGUGCAAAUAUUCUGAAUUCUAGCCUAGUGCAAUUUCGCCAACAUGAUGCUGUGACAAGGACAGACAAUAUUUUGGGCAUCAAUUUUAGAAGGCAUCCGGGCUAUUAAUUAGAGGUCUAUAUUCUGCUCUGUUAACGUCCAGGAGACUUGAGACAAGUAAAUGAUCUACUCGGACCUCCACUUCCCAACCAAAGGAGUGAAACACUAAUCAAUACCCUGUCGGAUUCAGCGAGGAUUCAUUCAGACGAGAAACAGAUGCUCUGGGAAAUACAGCUACUCAAAGAAAGGAAUGCUUUCAGAAUGAUGGACCAAGAAAGCAGCUCUAUCUUUGGCAACUUUAAAAGGACUAACCAAACCCUAA
rnacentral:lncRNA from 1 species